CAGCUGUCAACCUUGACAAGCUCCUGUUUGGUUGGUGUCCGAAAGCCCUCCAACAAGGUGGCUAAUGGUUAACAUAUGGAAUUUCUCCAUUUAUUCAACCUCUGCUGAACACAGGAGACCAUGAAGCUGAAACAUUGAGGACUGCAGUUCCACCCUGCGAAUGCUGGGAAAGAUCAGUCUUUAUCAUCUCUGUCACACGGAGGAGGGUUUAGGGUGAAAUGCCAGGAAACCAACAUCACAUGCUUCUUUGAAUGUUUAGAGGUAUAUUCCACAUUUGUUUUGCUGAACAAUACGAAGUCCUGGGUGCCCUCUGAUACGGUGUCAUUAUUCUGGAGCUCUCCAAAGAUCCCCAUAAGCAUUCUGAAGCUCUUCAGAGAUGCCUUUCGAUGUGUUCGCCUUGCGGAAUGACUGCUGACCUGGCCAGUGAGAAACGCCUUUACGAUGAAUCCCAGCUGACGAAUCACUGUGAGCAGCUGCAGAGAGCACUGGGCUACUGAGUCACCACAAUAACAGGCCUCUGUCAGCAGCAAGGGAGGCUGGGAAAUAAGCAUCACCCCAGUGGUCCCUGGGACCUUAUCUGCCUGCCUGGGAGGCUCGCUGACCUCAUGUGCUCAGCUCUGCUGAUAUUACUCUGCGUUCGAUUACCUCUCUCCGAGUCGGAACUCCGACGAAAACGUCACGAUAAACAGCACUUCCCGUCGGAAACACGCCUCUUUUAUGGCAUUGAUGUUGGACAGAAUUUUCUUGUCCGAGUUGCCCCUGUGACGUCAUUUCAACAUGGCGGCUUACACUCAUUUUAUAAAUAUUUAAAAAUGUUUAUUUUGUUAACUGUAUUAAUAGUUAUGAAUGUAAUCACACUUGUUCGAUUUAGAGAAUACCAUAUCAUGACCGUAAACAGUAUCCUGGCAUUUCAGUUUAUUACCAUACUCAUUAGUGUCGUUGUUUGUUUGUAGUUUGUUUGCCUCUCAUAAAAAGAUCGCUCUGAAUGUACUAAAAUAUUUUAUAAAGUUUUUAAUGUGGUUUGACUGGUUCGCGUUUCUUGUUUGUUUGUCUCUCAGAAAAAAAUAAUCUCACUCCAAAUCUGCUAAAAUACUCAUGGAGGCAGCCAUGUUCGUUCUGUGAAGUGGGAGCUAGAACAGGAGAUUGUUAGACCUGACGUCACUCAACUCGGAAUUUCCACCUUCUGAGAGAUAGUCGAACCAGGAUUAUAUAUAUUUUAACAAUGCUGUGGUUCUGCCUACCUGCUGUAACCUACUAGCCUGUAAUAUACCCUGAUAUACCCAGCCCAGUGCCAGAUUGCGAGGUA